rnacentral:rRNA from 1 species
AUUGAGCGCUGGCGGCAUGCCUUACACAUGCGAGUCGAACGGCAGCAUGGAGAGCUUGCUCUCUGAUGGCGAGUGGCGAACGGGUGAGUAAUGCAUCGGAACGUACCGUGUAAUGGGGGAUAACGUAGCGAAAGUUACGCUAAUACCGCAUACGACCUGAGGGUGAAAGCAGGGGAUCGCAAGACCUUGCGUUAUACGAGCGGCCGAUGUCAGAUUAGCUAGUUGGUGAGGUAAAGGCUCACCAAGGCGACGAUCUGUAGCGGGUCUGAGAGGAUGAUCCGCCACACUGGGACUGAGACACGGCCCAGACUCCUACGGGAGGCAGCAGUGGGGAAUUUUGGACAAUGGGGGCAACCCUGAUCCAGCCAUGCCGCGUGAGUGAAGAAGGCCUUCGGGUUGUAAAGCUCUUUCGGCCGGGAAGAAAUCGCACAGGCUAAUACUCUGUGUGGAUGACGGUACCGGCAUAAGAAGCACCGGCUAACUACGUGCCAGCCGCCGCGGUAA